rnacentral:lncRNA from 1 species
AGCUUGACUCGGAAGAUUACGAUGACUACUGCGAUCCUUCCCGCUACCUUGAUGGUGUGUACGAGGACGAGCUUAAUGAAGAAGAUAGGAUGCUUCUCAGGGGCAUGCACAUGCUAAUGAAGUGAACUCCAUCGGGGAUGUUGUGAUCGAAGUGCCUGGAUGUUUUCACCAUUUUGCCAAAGUAUCUGCACUACUGAUCUGCGCUUCGGUUCUUCAGCUGGCGGCAUGGAUCUGCUUCUGCAUCGACUUCUCCUGUAAGAUCGUAGAGAGUGCUCCCUGCAUUGUCCAACCGAUCUUCAGAAACAUGUGCUAAGAGUCAUUUACCUUGCAGUUUAGUUCAAGUGGUUCUGAAAUAUGCUCUGUAGUAAGUACUGGCAGUACUGGUUUGCUUAGCUGUGAAACUUGCUUAUCCUCUGCGUGGACUUAAUGUGAACAUUGUGGCUCCAGGAGCUCCUGGGCCUCCAGAAUGGGAGGCCCAGUCAUCCUGUGCCUUAGGCCCUGGCGCUGGACUGGAGAUUGGAGCUUCACGGGACUGUUUGACAUCUGUUCUGAUUGCUAAAACCUCUACGACGAACUACUGCUGCACACCUUAUUUUUAAGAAUUUCUCAAAAACAAAAACCUUAUUUAUAAGAAGUGUACUAAGUGACACACCUACCAUCACAACCAGAGCAGGACACAGAAGAUUUUGGAGAAAAAACGUAAGUGUCAGAACAUUGUUUAGUGCUUCUCCUAUGUGUCAAUUUUCAUGGAGAAAUGACAUUCAUUAAUAUGAAAAAAUGCUCCAAAAUGCUUAAAAACUACUCCCCCCAUUCCAUAAUUAUUGUUGUGGUUUUAGUUCAAAUUUCUGUUGCAGAAAAGAAGAAAAGGAUUGUAUGAAUGUUUUUACUGUUUUUUUUUAACUCUAGCAGAGUCGCUACAUGCCUCAUGCCUCCAUAAUAACCAUCAAAAUGGAGGAUAUGGGGUAAAAACCACUCUACCAUAUUCGCUAUAAUUUCAUCGUCAUAUUUUUCGAGAGUGCAAGAAACCAAUCUGGGUAGAAUUGCUUUGUUUAUUAAUCAUUUUUUUUUUUGCUUUGUUUUAAUGAGUACGGCCCUUCCCGAAGAAUCGAGCGCCUUUUCCACGCCUUGCCCAGCACCUCUACCAAAAAACACUCAUCUUACAUCUCUCUCUCACACUCACGCACACGAGCGCACACACUUACUGGACGGUAGAAAAAAGAGAAAAAAAGCAUCGGGGCCAACGACAUCAGCGGUGGGGCGGUAGCACCGCACCCUCUUCAUCUUGUCCUCUUCCCCGGCCUCUAGUGGUAACAUCUUCUUUUUCUUGCUCCUCCCUACUUCUCCUCCCCCGAUGCCUAUUCCCUUGCACCGUGGUGACGCAUAAUCGGCCACCGACGACCUAGGGGAGGAGGUCUUGUCGGCCGCGCGGCAGACUGCCAGGAGUUUCAAUGGCUCGGCGACUACUUCCACGUGAAGCCCACCGUCGUUUCUGCUACAACGGUGAGGUUUGCGAUUUCAUGGGGCAUUCCAACGAUUCCAUAACAAUUUAGGAUAGAUUAUGGAGAACCAUGAAUUAUAUGGUAUCAUGCACUCUCACUUUUGAGAAACUACAGUUGCUAAUCAUGUUGGAUGCCCUGAUCAAAACUAGGUGAAAACAAGAUGGAGUUUCCCGAAUGGAUAGCAUAUUGCAAGUCAUGAAAUAAUAAGUGAUUGACUUAAUUAAUACACGCUUAAAAGUUGUGUUUUUCUUAUCAAUUUAGUUUUCAUCGUGAAACGUCCAGUGGUUUCACAUUUGAUUUGUUGAAAAAUUCUUGGUUCAUGCCAAGUUUGAUCAAUAUUGUCAGUAUAUAAUCUAGUGGAGGUGAAGGCGAUGGAUUUUCAUCAUACACCACCGAUUGCUUAUAAUCUUUCUUCAUUUGAAAAAUGUAUGUUUGCCACAAAAUUAGUGUUCUCUUUGUCCGGAGGGAGUGAGCGAACCAAACAACCCUUGUGCGCUCGCAAGCCUUUUUUCGUUCCUCUUUUGUUACUUCUUAAUUCACUUUAACUUUUGAAUAAAUAUUUAGUUAUUUAGAAAAUUUUGCUACGAAAUUUUUAGAAGUGUUAGAGUAUUUUUAAAAAUACCCACGCAUCUUGAAAUGUUCAUAUUUUAAAAAUAUAUAUAUUAAUAAAAUGUUCAUGUGUUUUUUAAAAUGUAAUUUUAAAAUUUCACAUAUUUUAGAAAAUAUCCAUUCAUUUUCACAAUGGUUAUACUUCUUACAAAAACACAUUUUUUGAAAAGUCUUCAUGCAUUUGAGAAAAGCUUCAAUCAUUUUUUUUAAAUGUUCACACUUUAUUUGGAAAACACAUUACUAAAAGUGCUAAUGUAUUUCUGAAAAUAUGUUCACACAUUUUACAAAAAUGCUAUUCGAGGCUGUUUUUAGAAAACGUUCAUGUUUUUAAAAUCAUUUAAUUUCUAGCAAUGGGAAAAAGGAGAAAAAAGGAAAAAUGAAUAAGAAGAUGAAAAAAAUAGAAGUGAAAAAAAGAAGAGAAAUAGGAAAUAGAAAAAACACAAUGACAGUGCUACCCACAUCGCACCAUCAAAAACCGAAACUAUCCAUGAAGAAUAAUGCAAAAUCAAACGCAUCAUCAACGCUUGGGCUACGAUCUAUGCCCCGAGCGACUCGGCCAUCCGUGCGGUACGGGCCGUUAUAAGCAGCAAAUAACAUUUGCUCCCAUACCAAAUACAACCACAACUCCUAAAAAAACAAAUACAACCGCAAAUCAGUGUGCGGCUCGUGUUGACCAUCCCAGAAAAAGAAAAGAAAAAAUAGGACAAAGAUACACAAGCCUUAACGUACGUCGACCCGACAACCCCAUUAAAAAAAAACUAUGUCUACCCGAUCGUUAAAUCACCUUCGGACUAGGUAAUUAUAGCCGUGCGUGGCAGAGCACUCCAUCCGUUCCUUCUUACACAAGAUUUGUGUUGAGUCAGAUUUUACAAAUUUUGACCAAAUUUGUAUAAUAAAAUAUCAACAUCUACGAUACCAAAUAUACACAAUAUGAAACUAGAUUCCAUAGUGAAUCUAGAGAUAUUCCUUUGGCCUUGUAAAUGUUAACGCUUUUUUCUAUAAUUUUGGUCAAAUAGGGAUGCUUUGACUUCAGACAAAAGUUAUAUGCAGAGUAAAAAGAAACGAAGGAAGUAUUUUUUUCAAAGGUAAAAGUUCUCUGAACAUUUUUUGUCAUCCGACCCUGAGUACACAUUGCUAUUACUCAGCUUUCUUUUAGUUUAAGCAACAAAAACAAUCAAAUAAGCAUAGUUAAACUAACGAUGGGUACUUGCAUGCAUGCGAGGCCUCUACCGCAUAUUAACUAGUAAGUUGUACUCCCUAUGUGAAAUAAUAUAAUAUUAUAAUACCUUUUAGAACACUGAAGUACUAGCAAUCUAAAGAACCUUUAUACUCCCUCCGUUCCUAAAUAGUUGUCUUUCUAGAGAUUUCUACAAGUGACUACAUACGGAGCAAAAUGAGCGAAUCUACACUUUAAAAUAUGUCUAUAUACAUCCGUAUGUAGCAAUCCAUUUGGAAUCUCUAAAAAGACAAGUAUUUAGGAACGGAGGAGUAUUAAUUUACAGAGGAAGUACGUGCUUAGCACGUGAACCGUGUGAGAGGGAGAAAUUACCUAUACAAAGAUAUCUAGACUUUACAAUUGGUACGUGCGGAUGCAGUGAACGUGAUAAAUACAUUCUCCAUUAGAAAUAGUGUACCAAGUACUACAUUAUAAAUCGUAGAAACUUCCAGACCGUACGGCACGGCAGAUUCCGAUGAAACAAAGAGGAGACCGAACGGUCAGCGACGCUCGGGUUUACCACCUAUCGAUCUGAAUUCAUCAAUCGAUUUAUAUCUAAAAGUUAUUUGCGCACUGCACAAGGGUGUAGAUAGAUGCAGAUAUAUUGAGUCAAGCUUUGAGCCGAAGAAGAACCAGGCGGGGAGCGUGCCGCGGCCCUAACCCUCUACCACUGACAUGUGGGCCAUGUUUCCCGCAGGCCCACAUGUCAGUGGUAGAACGGCAGGCUGCCGAACGGUAGAGGAUCCUCGCGCGACCAGACCACGACCGAACCGACCCAAAACACCAUUCAUCACACGCACGCUUCCAAGGAAGCAACGGCGGUUUCGCCCCCUCGCUACCCAUUAAUUGCGCUCCCAUCCCUCCCUUCCCCUGCUCCUCCCCAUCUCUCUCUCUCUUCCUCUGCUCCGUCUCGCCCCAAGACUCUCCCCCACCUCCCCCCUCCGUGUCCCUCAAGAUUCUCCCUCCCCUCCCUCCCUCCCACCCGCGCCCACGACCCUAGCCAUUCCACGCCUGCCGCAGGGGUGGCAUGCUCGCCACGUUCCUCGGGACUCGCCGGCCGGCCUUGAAUUGAUGGAUCGUCGGGCGCCUCCCCCUCCUUCCUCGCUCUCCGGCGCCUCGAGCCCCCGCUGCCGCUUCGAUGCGGCGUGGAGGGCGCUCGGGACGCGCGGCGCCGCGGCCGCGGCGGCCCUCGGGCAGGCGCUCGGCGCGCUGCUCGCCUUCGUCUUCGCCGUCGGUGCGUGCCCUGUUUUGCUUCCUUGCUCUUAUCGCCCAGUGUUUCGCUACUCAUUAGCAUUGGCGUCUGAUGACGAAUUGAGUAUUGGGUGGGACGGCACCCUCGCUGGUGCAAUUUUUGGGGUUCUGUGCCAUUUUCUUUGGAAUUUUGGACAAGCUUAUAGGCAGCAAUUCAAUCUUGCAGGCAGGAAUCUUGGAUCACCAGACAUGCUAAUCUUAUCUUUAAACCUUCCACUUCUCAAUUCUAUACGGGUUUAGGUCGAUCACCGGGGCGUCCUCUGUUUUCGUUCUCUGUUUAAUUCGCUGUUGUAUUGCAUAUCUGCAUUGGAAUUGUUCCAUUGAGUAGCUCAUGUGGAGUGUAAAUAAAUGGCUGGUACAAUUAACAAUUUUAUCUCAAAGUUCUCCUCCUUGUAAUUUUGUCCUUCAGUGGGUUCACUGGUCGGGAUCUUCAUCGGCGCCUUCAUGGGGAUGUCCACCGAGAGCGGCAUGCUCCGGGGCGCCGGCGUGGGAGCGGUCUCCGGCGCGGUCUUUUCCAUUGAGGCCGUUGAAUCCUGCAUCGAGAUUUGGAGAUCUAGCGAAUCCGGAAAGUAUAGCUUUCUCUUUGUGGUGAGUAUGGAAGAAUCAUCCGGUGACCUCUUUUCUUUAUGUACCAUCAUCAAGAAAGGUGGAGGAUCAUUUUCAUGUACCUACCCAAGCACAUACCUCACUACGAUGUCGACCGGUGGGAAUUAUGAAAUUUGCUAACUUAGGAAACCAUGGAAACAUUUGCUACAAGUAAAUGUUUUCUCAAUAGGAAAUAAUAUCGCAUUUCAUUAGUUGUUGCACUACGUUAUGGACAUUUUUGUGUGAGAACAGGCGAAGCAGCAAUUCAUAAGCAGAAUUAGGUUUUACUUGUUCUGAUGUUCUGUUUGUGUUUCGGUCUUUCAGCUAGACAUCAUCUCUAGCCUCUUCAGUGGACGAAUUGUUUGGGAGAAGGUCAGUCCAGCACUCCAGCGUGCAGUGCAAAGUCAGGUAUAUAGCUCUUCAUAUAAGCUGGUUGUAAAUCCAUAAUGAUUGGUAGUGUGAUAUCGGUGCUCUCUAAUGCCUAAAAUGGUAGGAUACCUAGUAACCGUGGCAGAUUAUAGGAGGAACAAAUCUUAUAUUCAUCUAAUAUAAGUAAAAGAGUGAAACACUUUCAAACCUACAAUUUAUGAUGUAGCAGAUUCUUAGCAUUAAAAUGGUUAGGUACAUGGAAAAUAACAUUCUCCCACUCUCCUGCAAAGGAAGUUUCUAGUUAUAGGAAUAUCUAGAACUAGAUUGUGGGGCUAGAGAGACCAAAGCAUUAAAUGUCUUGUUUUGGCGUCUAAAGUGUGAAAUUCUUCAGAUAUGUAUGCGUGCUAUUAUCUUAAUAAAACAAAUAAACAAUCGUGCUAUUUAGCAAACUAUACUAUAUAGCAGCAUAGAUGGUAAAUACUCAAGAUAAGUAAUCUAUGGUAUUAAAUUGAGAGAAAAAAACCGUUAUCCAAGAUUAAACUUGUGAGUGAUGAUUUCACACCAUCUGUUAUUUAGGACCAUAGAAUGUUUCCUUCAGUUUACAUACUCUUAUCUGAUUUUAUAGGAGCAAUGACUUCUAGGCACGACGACUAUAAUGGCAGUUGCUUGUGCACCAUGCUAAGUCUGAUUCAGUGUUUUAUCUAAUGCAGAUGAGUUUAAUGAGUACACCUUUCAUUGACAACAAUGACCUUUUUGAAACCGGCUGCACGGGUGGUAUGUCAAGAGCUCUGAUCAACAAGAUCCCAGCAAUCAGGUUCAGCGCUGCAACCAAUUCUGCUCAGGAAACUGACAAGACCUGCUGUUCAGUAUGUCUUCAGGUUAGUUAGUGUGUUCUUGACUGCAUUAUUCCCAGACUCCCACUAAACAUAAGCCAGGAAAAAUAGUUGCUCGUGCUGAUGACAUGCUAAACUACUGACCAGGAUUUCGGAUCGCGGCAAUUUGUGAGAGCCUUGCCCCAGUGCCAGCACAUUUUCCACGUGCGAUGCAUCGACGACUGGCUUCCGAGGAACUCCACCUGCCCACUGUGCAGGGGUGGUGUUCAUAUAGACCACCUGUGUUUAUAAUCGCAGAAUACCGGUGCUCGUGUUCCAUAAUCGUAAAAUAGUCUUGUAUACAUAGAGGUUUUCUUUCUUUCUUUUGCCAGUCUGUGGAGUGGGGCAACGUUUCCGGCUGCACGAUUUUCUUGUCAUAGCAAUAACGUGAUAUGUGCAUUAUCUAAAUGGAAAUGACUAACAAGCUACAGAAUUAUGGACCAUGUUUUUUCUCUGCUGAUAGCUACUGAUACUGACUUUGUAAAGGUGAAUUCGCUUGCAAUCUUUUCAAGUGCUGCAAGUAGUGAGUCUUAUACAGUGCAACUGAAGGUUGGUGUUAAUUGUACUGUGCCGCCAUUGUUUGGUCAGACAGCAAGUGUUUCAAAUCAACAGCUGCCUGCUUGCGUCGUUAGAAACGGAUCUGCCUAUGUUCCUUUCUUUGUUUGAACGAAUAAGUUCUAAAUAUCUCAACUUACCCAAAUUCUCUACAGCUAAAAUGGUGCUAGUUGAAAUAAUGUGUUUGGGUAAAUGUUUUGUUGUGCAAUCUAGUAUUAAAAUGGGUCGGACAAUGUUUUUUUAAUCACAUUACAGACACAAGUGUUCAUAUGUACGCGCAUACACUCACCCUUAUGAACGCACACACGCACACCUUACCCCUAUGAGCAUCUUCGAUAGGCUGAGCCGGCAUAUCAUAUGAGAUUUUAUGAAGUCAGCGUAGACGCUUCGUAGUCGACGGGGAUGUCUCCUUCCAUUGAAAACACAUCGCUUGAAGAAUAAAUGCGAGCAUCGGGAUUUAAAUCUUAAUGGGCUGGGGAUACUACUGCCCACCUAACCAUCCAACCACACGGAUUGGUUGCUGAACCAGACCAUGUUGGUCAAUGAACAAGGAGCUACUUAGUAUUGGACCAUUGGCCGUCUCCAUACCCCUGAACAGAACAGAGAGGGGACAGCACGGACCAGGUCCGGGCCGGAGCGGUCGGGCUCAUUCAAAUGGGAAGAACUUCUUCAUGACGUGUCUGAGGAAAAAAAAACUGAGGCUGCUAGUUGCAAUACAUUUUUUGAGACAAUACAUGGAGGGAGCGGCGGCGUUUUCCUUUCAUGGGAGCAAACGAAACCUCUCCAUCAUGCUGUUUAUAGGGAGAGAAGUGACGUCCCUUCUCGCAGAAGAUGCAACGCAACAGCGAAAUUGAUUGAUGUUGCAAGAUAGCUACAUCCAUCAAGGUUUUAAUAACCAUGUUUUAUGGCUAUUGAUGGUAAGGUGACCAGUCGACAUUGUCGUUACUUCGUGUGCAAGCGUUUAACCAUAAAUUCUCUUAUUCCAUUCUCAAUAGGACCCGGCUAGAAUGUCUCACAUACAUAAUUGCACACAGUACCUUACUCAUAUGAGUCCCUUGUAAAGACUGAGCCGGCACAUUAUCUUGAUCUUGACGGAGUCACCAUAGACCUCUUCGUAAUCGACGGAAACAUACAUAAUUGUAUUCCUAGUGUAAAAAAAUAAAUGCAUAAUUGUAUUCUCAGUUCGUGAUAAUUGCAUCUAUAGUCCUCGUACUCGCAGGCGACGUCCAACUCAGUCCUGGAACUUGCGUAUUGCUUCAAUACGGUCCCGGUACAUGAAAAUACGUGCUCAAUACGGUCCCUGAAAUUGAAACACCAGUCCCGGCUCUACACGUCACAUACGUAUCUCGUAUUUCCAUAGCGGAGGCCAUGUUCGUAUGCGGCCCAUAUGUUAGCGGGCCGGAUUUUUUUUGAAAAAAAACCACGCAGGGGCGAUUCGAACCCACAAGCUCUAGCCAACCACUGCUCGAGCUGACCACCAGGCCAAGUGCGGGAUCUCUUUUAACAUUGGGAUGCACUACAUAUUAUAAGCACAUCAAUGUCACUUUACAAAUAUACAUGAAUUUUAAAAUAUUCAUGAGUUUUUUAGAAAAUAAAAAUGUUCAUCAGUUCAUAAAAUGUUCAUGAUUAAAAAGUAAAACAUUGUGUCUACAAAAAAUGUCCGUGAAUUUUUAAAAAUAUUCAAAACAAUAUUUCAAAAAUGUAUUGAUGAAUUCAAAAAAGUUCGUCACAAAAAAAUGUUUCUGAAUUUCAUUGUUUUCAUGUAUUUCAAAAAAUAUUUGCCUAUGCAAAAAAAAACUUGUUGACUAGUUCCAAAAAAUAUGUACACAGUUUCGAAAAAUAUUCACUAAAUUGGAAAAGUUCGUGAAUUUAGAAAAUGUCCGCAACUUCAAAAAUAUGGUGAACAUUUUGGGAGUGCAUCUCCUCAGAUAGUGAGUGCAACUUUAGAAAAUUUCAAAAAAUAAUGUUUGCAACUUAGAAAAUUUACGCAACUUGUACAAAAGACUAAAUAUAUAGGGAGUGCAUCUCCUCACAUCUCGCGCGCGCACACGCACACGCACAGAUGCACGCACGCACACACGCUCACGCGCGCACACACACACACGCACGCACACGCACAGAUGCACGCACGCACACACGCACACACACACACACACAUGCACACACGCACGCACACACACGCGCGCGCGCACACACACACGCACGCAGACACACGCGCGCGCGCGCACGCACACACACACACAUGCGCGCGCGCACACACACACCCACACACAUACUUGGUAUUCAUGAAUUGAUUUUUUUUAUGUUCCUCGAUUCAAAAAAUGCUCAUGAUUCACAAGUAAAAGUUUGUGUAUACAAAAAAUGUCUUCGAAUUUAUCAAAAUAUUCAAGAAAAUGCUUCGGGUUUAGAAAAAUAUAUUUCCUAAAUUUUGAUAAAAUGUUCACCGAUUCAAAAAAUAUUGAUGAAUUCAGAAAAUGUUCAUCACAAACAAAAUGUUUAUGAAUUUCAAAACUUAUUGAAAAAUUAAACAAAAAUGUUUGCUUAUGCAAAAAAAACCUUGUUGACGAGCUCCAAAAAACAUAUACGCCAUUUCAAAAAGUAUUGACGAUUUUGUAAAAAUUUCAUGAAUGAAAAAUGUCGCAACUUAAAAAAUAUGGUGAACAUUUUUUCAAUUCUAAAAACAAGGUUUAAAUUCACAAAAUGUUCAGCCCAAUUUUUUAAAAUGUUGACCAAUUUGAAAAAAAAUCAUGAACUAAAAAAUAUUCGCAAUUUCAAAAUCUCUGUAUGCAGUGGGCUCAGUGGGGUACGCACCAGGUUGCUCGUGCCAUUUUGUUUUGGGUUUGCUCGCGCCAAAUAGGAGACUGCCAAAAAAAUAAACACGAACAAAAAAACAGAACACGCAGAAGACAGCUGGGCCGUAGCUAUAAAACAAAAGAAACAGGCCCGUACAGUCCAGAAAAAAAAGACUGUGAAUACCUAAUUAUAUUUCUUUUCACUCAAAAAAACUAAAUAGAUUUCUUAUAGGGAGUACUCGAUAUAUAGGGUGUGCAUCUCCUCGCAUAUCACUCGUACACUCUUGGUCUGGUGGCUAGCGUGCGCUUCCCCGGCCCACAAUUUGCGUGUGCGAACCACAGCGCCCACACGCAUUUUUUUCUUUUAUUUUUUUCUUUUAUUUCUCAAUAUCCCACUGACGUAUGGGUCCAACCUGACAAGCUGGGCCAGUCUGACGUGGCAUACGGCGGAAUACACAGUACGUAUGCAACACAUAGAACCAGGACUGGCGUUUCAACCUCAAGGACCAUAUUGACCACGUAUUUUCAUAUAUCGGGACUGUAUUAAAGUAAUACGCAAGUUUCAGAAUUGAGUUGGACGUCGCCAACGAGUACAAGGACUAUAGAUGCAAUUAUCUCUCUCAGUUCCAAGGUUUUCUUAAGAUGGUCGCAAAGACAGAAACAGAAGGUAGAGGGAUCCUCCGGUGCCAUAUCUGUAGAUGGGCACACAACAAAUCGACACACACCAUCGUCAAAUCACACAAAUCAGGAAGGAAUUGGACUUGACACCGGUUGUUUGUGGCGACAGUUAAUGAAGUUAGCAAGCAUGGAGAUGGGGAAUCAGAAGCAAGCAAAGGGAAUGGCCGAAUGGGAGACCAGGUUCGAUCCUUGGUGGAUCAAACCAGGUUCUGUUGUGUUCGAUCUUUGUGCCAGUGCCCUUCUUGCCUUUAAUCUUUCCCGCUCCAACGAAGUUGACCAACUGGGCCAAUCUCAUGUACUCCCUCCGUCCGAAAUUACUUGUCGCAUAAAUGAAUGAAAAUGGGUGUAUCUAGAACUAAAAUACAUCUAGAUACAUUCACUUUUCCGACAAGUAUUUCCGCAUGGAGGGAGUACUACAUAUAUUUGGGUCAGCCCAUUAGCUAUUUCCGGUUUUAACUGGAUUAUUUUUCCUUUCAUUUUUCCUACUUUUUUCUAUUUCGUUUUUUUUCUUUCUUUUCAUUUUCAUUUUAGUUUUACGUUCUUUUCCUUUUUUUUCAUUGCAUUUUAUUUUCCAUUUUUUUUGAAAUCAUGAACAUUUUUGGAAUUUGCAAUUUUUUUGAAAUCCUGAAUAUGUUCCAAAUUCACAUUUUUUUUACAAAUUCACAAACAUUUUAAAAACUGUGAUUUAUUUUUGAAUUUCAGGACAUUUAUGAAAUUGUGAAUAUUUUUUUGAAUCGACAAAUAUUUAAAAUACAUGAACAUUUUUUUGUUUUGCUGAACAUCCUUGAAUUAUAUGAACAUUUUUAGAAUCAAUGAAAGUUUUUGUAUUUCACGAACAAUUUUUUGAAUUUGCAAACAUUUGUUCAAAAUCACGAACAUAUUUUGAAUACAUAUUUUAAUCACUAAAAAUUGUGAACAUGUUUUUGAAUAUGAGAACAUUUUUAAAAUCUCUUAUACUUUUUUGAAUCCACGAACAUUUUAGGAUUUUUUGAACAUUGCUUUCUUCAAAAUUCAUAUUUUUCAUAAUUCCUCAAUUUUUUUGAAAUCCUGAAUUAUUUUAAGAAGAAAAGAAAAGAAAAACAUAUUCCGACCUCCUUGUACUAACUACGGCGCUGCUAGUGGUGGAAUUCGAGCCGAGUCGAGCCAGCUCGACUCGACUCGCUAAAACUCGUUUCAUUAACGAGCUAGCUCGACUCAACUCGUUACUAUACCGAGUUCAAAUCCAAGAUUGGCUCGUCGCGAGCUGACUCGUUUAGCUUGUUAAGCUCGUUAAAGAUGUGAACAUCAGACCUUACAAAUACGAUAAAAAGAUUUGCUGAGAAUUUAGCAUGUGCAUAUGUGGUCAUGUACGUGUGAGUCUCCUGGGUGGCUCGGCCUUGAGCGGCUGGGCCUCGUGCUGGAACGCAAGGUGUUUAAUGGUUGUAUUUUACUAUCACUAGAAAACACUGACUUUUUUACCAAGCCUAACGAGUUACACGAGUACUCGUGAUAUCAGCUCGUUUCACUUGGUAUGUAAACGAUCUUAAACUAAAGCUCGGCUCGGCUCGUUAUUCUUCGAGUUCGAGUUGAUUCGAGCCGAGUCACGAGCUAAUCGUUUAGCUUGCGUGCUUCGAGCUUUUUUUCCAGCCCUAGGGGCUGCACUUUCUAGGACCCCACCUCCCUGUACUAAAUACGCGCUGCACUUUCUCGGAUCCAACCUCCAAACCAUUUGAUUGGCCUGAAUAUCAUAGCAAAUAACAAUUGUUCAUAGUGGAAAAGACAUAUUUCAAACAUAAAAAUUAUUCCGAGUGCACAAUUCAAACAUUAAAUUCCUUGGUUUUCAUUGUGGGUCAUAUAUAUGCUUCACAAUAUCGCUGAGUAGUUGCAUGUGCACAUUUUGAUCUCGAACAUUCCGAUGGAGAGCAUCUCCAGAAAGUUCACAAAUAUGCUUGGCAUCUUGUUCUGAGAGGCGGACAUGCACUCCGGACAUCUCAAAAUCAUGUGUUCGGACUACCUCUUCACCAUCAUCCCGGACAAUCAUGUUUUGCAAAAUGACACAGUGUCUUUGAUUCCCACGUCAUUGUAGCUCCAUGAACAAUAACCCCAACGAGCUUGGAGCACUCUGAGUGCUCGCUCCGCGUCCUUCCUAAUUCCUCUUACAUUGUUGCAAAGUGGCAUUGUUUAUUGUCAUGGAGAUCGGAUAUGGUCUUGACAAACGCCACCCAGUGAGGAUAGAUCAGUCGUGCGUCGUGCAAUCCUAUCCGAAAAACCCCCAUCAUAGAACUUUGAUUCAGGUUGAAACUAGUCCUUGUAGAGCAGGCGCUCAUCAACAAUCCUAUCCUCGUGUACUAGUCUCCUCCAAUUGACUAAACCCUUGAAGUUUAACUUGAUCCACCUAAUGUACAAACCGGACACCCUCCUGCGAAGUAUCAGGGUUUCGAACGAAACCGUCGCGUUUCACACACAACUCAAUUUAAAAAAUCAUUCCAACUUUUAACUUUUUAUAUGAUUAAUACACACCAUCCAAAGCCCCAUGCUCAAAUUUGAGCACCUUUUGAGUUGGUCUACUUUUUUGAGGCAUUGACUGACUUUCUGACCACUAAAAAAAGCAGAAUGCUCUUCGAUAGGAAAUAGCGGGAAACGAGCUCCAAAAGAGAUGAAACUUCACACCUGGUGUACAAAAAUUUGAAUGGUCUUCAUUGGAUCCCUGUGGAGUGUGGUGAAAAUUUGAGUGUUGCGGCAAAAAAUUGAUCCACCUAGUGUACAAAAUGCUCCUCUUUCUUCUCCAUUUCCUCUUGGAUACUUAUCAUCAUCAUUCACUCUUCAUUCGACGAAUCCGAUGAAUCAACAAACUUUUUUUGAAUAAGUUCAUCAGACACAUUGUUCUGAAACUCCCAUAUGAUGAAUCCAUUGUUUUAUCUACAAAAGAAUAAAAUACACUUUGGGAAUUUUCUCGAACACAUAGAGGGUAAGGUGUAUGACCGGAGGACCAAGACGUAUUGCGUUUGUGUCCGAGCCGGCGACCGUGUCAGGGAUGGCGAGGAUGACAUUAAUGGUGUUGUGUCGGUGAUGGCGGCGCUGUGAGAUUGGGACAAGGACUGAGCUAGGGGAGGAAAGGCAUGAAGGAGGCGGAAGAGAGGAGAUGAAGAGGUUAGGUCGGGCUAGGUUAGGAACAACUUGAAUGGCUUUUGGCAUGGAUCUCAAUUCCGACAUGACGGAUGCAUCGGGCGCGCCAGGGCUUUCCAUCAUUUUCAUCCUAGAUAUGGGUUGGAUUUGAGGGGUGUCGGACAACCCGAAGGUAUUGGGUCGGUUUAAAGGGGGGAUUGGGUCGCAUUUUCACUAUCGGGGCCACUGAUCAAGCCAUCUGCCCAAAUGUAUACAGGUGAUUUGAGAGGUACGUUUCUAGAUGCUCUAAGGCGAGGAGAAAGAAAAUCCAUGUGCUGCUAGACAACUUCUUUUAAGAAAGACAUACUUCCUCUGUUCCAUAAUGUAGUAUGUAUAGAUAUUUUGAGAAGUCAAACUUUACAAAUUUUGACUAAAUUUAUAGAAAAAGCUAUUUAUCUACUAUACGAAAUAUAUAACCACGUCUUAUGAUGAUUUUAAUUAUAAAUGUUUGGCAUACUAGAUGUAAAUGUUUUUCACCACUAAUUUGAUUAAAGUUGACGAGGUUUGACUUUUUACAAAAAUUACAUGGACUGGUCAAAUUAUUGCCCCACGUUGAGUUGACCCGAGUCUUCUACACUCACCUGCUGCCACCUUCUUCACCACCACCCCCAAACGGCGCAUCAUUCCCGCGCCUUCCUUCCCCAAACCCUAACCCUCACACCCACCCCGCGCGAUGCCCCCAUCCUCGUCGUCCCGCCGCCGUCGAGGCGGGCGCGGCGGACGACGCGGCCGCAAUGCGCCGACGAAGUCGGUGCCCGCGGAUGAGACGGAGACGAGGAACUGGGCGGAGCUGCCGCUGGACGCGAUCUCGGCCAUCCUCCACAAGCUCGACCACGUCGACAUCCUGAUGGGGGCCGGCCAGGUGUGCCUCUCCUGGCGCGGCGCCGCCCGCGGCGAGCCCGAGCUGUGGCGCCGCAUCAACAUGCUGGGCCACGCCGACCUCGAGCACGAGCUCAACUUCCCCGGGAUGGCGCAGGCCGCCGUCCGCCGCAGCGCCGGGAGGUGCGAGGCGUUCUGGGGCGAGUACGCCGCCGACCACGACUUCCUCCUCUACCUCGCCGACCAGUGAGAUUUCGAAUCCCCCAAUCCCAUCCUCCCCUGAUUUUAGGGGCUUUAGUUUUGAUUUGAUUUGUUUCGCAUUGGCUACACGUUUUGUCUCCGUUGAUAUUCCCUGCAAUGUAUGUGCACCUUCUUGGGGUCUCGUUUGUUGUCUGCAAAAAAAUUCGGUAGAAAUUUCUGUCUGUAGGAAUCAUGCAGUUUGCAACACAUCUUCGUUAAGAUAGCUUCCUAGGUCUGUACUGAAGAUACAUUGUGCAUAAAUCCGAUGCUGAUUGGUGAUUAUACAGCUGCAGUGCUGCACACGAGGUGCUCACAUGGGGAUUAUUUAUUUUAUUUUUUGAUAAAAGAGAACUUCAUCUCCGAUUUCUAACAUUAGAAACCAUAUGUUCUAGAUUAGAGCGAAUUUAAGUAGCAAAAGGUAAACUGCAACAGCACCAUGCACAUGGAACCUAUUCCUCUGUGCCAGCACUCAAUCCCGUAUCCAAUAGGAAUGCUGAGUUUCCAUCCAACCAAACAUUGAUGUGUUUUUGCAGCCUAUGCAUUGGUCUUAUACAAUUGGGAAGGCUUUUUUGGUUUGGUUCGAAACAGAACACAGUUGCCAGUUAACUUUUAAGGGCCUCUGGGCAGUUUCUAGGGAAGCAGUCAAUUUGGCAAUCAUUUUAGUUCUGUUGAUUCUUAAACAGAACGAACUCAGUUGAGUUCAUAGGCAAGAGUGCAGAAUUUAUCCUAAUAUGCAACCUGCUGUUACAGGCGUCAACAAGUUAGCAUCCCUAAAAUGUUCACUGUCCCUUAAAUCUAACAAUUGAUUCCGAAAGUUUCCAAUCAGGAUGAUUCCGAAAGUUUCCAAUCAUUUCCUGGUGAAACUGUCGAAUUGGCAAUAAUUUGAGUUUAAUGAUAUGGUUAAACAGAACAAACUCAGCUGAGUACAUGUGCCAGAGUGCAGAAUUUAUCCUUAUAUGCAAUCUGCAAUUGCAGGCAUCGGCAAGUUAGGAUCCCUGAAAUAUUCUCUGUUAAACCUAGCAAUUAGUCAUUAAUGAAUUAUACUAAAUCCCUCUAAAUUGUGUACCUAUGAUGCUAUGCAAUUAUCUGAAUUUAUGAAAUGUUCUAUGCAUGGACUGCGAUUGGAGCCAUGCAAGUCUUCCAAAACAUUCACUCUAGCUGCCUAUUUUAUACAGCAUGCUUAUGCCUUUCCAUACACACUGCAUAUUUAUUGGUUAUUGAGAUCCAAGUGUUGUAUUUGCAGGGCACCAUCUCUUAAGAGCCUUCGCCUCAUUUCUUGCUAUGAUGUUUUUGAUGAUGGACUCACAGAGGCGAUAAUGAAGUUCCCUUUGCUUGAGGAGCUCGAGCUUUCACUGUGUCCAAAUGUGGAUGACAGUGGUGUCUUUGAGGUUAUCGGCAAAGCAUGCCCACAGCUGAAACGCUUCAGACUGAGUAAGAAUGUGUUCUUUGAUUAUGAAGCUGGUGACCAGGAAAAGGACGAGGAAGCCAUGGGGAUUGCGACUAUGCAUGAGUUACGCUCUUUGCAGCUGUUUGGCAAUAGCCUCACCAACAAAGGGCUGACAGCCAUCCUGGACAAUUGCCGCCACCUGGAGUCCCUUGACAUCCGCCACUGUUUCAACGUCACCAUGGACGAUGCCCUGCGUGCAAAGUGUGCCAGGAUAAGCACACUGAGGCUUCCGAAUGACUCAACCGAUGACUACGACUUCAUUGUCAAGAGCCCUAUUUGGAGGAAUUCAGAGUCCUUUCUGGGUGAUUAUGUGGGAUCUGAUUCUGACUACGAGCUUGGCUCGGAUGAUUACGACGACUACUGCGAUCCUUCCCGCUACCUUGAUGGUGUGUAUGAGGACGAGCUUAAUGAUGAAGCGAGGAUGCUUCUCAGGGGCAUGCGUAUGCUUAUGAAGUGAGCUCCAUCGCGAUGUUGCGAUCGAAGUGGCCGGAUGUUCCUCAUUUCUUUUGCCGAAGUAUCUGCACUACGCUAGGCAUGGUCUGUACUUUGCCGCUUCUGUCAGUGCCGUGGAUCCGCUUCUGCGUUGACUUGCCCUAGAAUAUCGUAGGCUCCGUUUCGUGCUUUGUCCAGCCAUCUUACUAGUUGCUAGUGAAACAUGUGGUGUGUUGGGAGUCUUUUACCUUUGCAGUUUAGUUGAAGUCGCUGUGAAAUAUGCUCUGUAUUCGGUGCCUAUGU